AAGAAGUCAGGCCGAUCUAAGCCAUAGCACGGUAAGAGCUAUGCUGCCUGUGAGCCCCGUCCAAGGACGUAAAAAGAAGUCAGGCCGAAAGCCACGGCUUGAGCAAACCGUGCUGCCUGUAGCUCCAUCGUGGGGAUGUAAAAACCCGGGAGGCUGCAACCCAUGGAAGCUGUACGCAUGGGGUAGCAGACUAGUGGUUAGAGGAGACCCCUCCCAAGAUACAACGCAGCAGCGGGGCCCAACACCAGGGGAAGCUGUACCCUGGUGGUAAGGAC
rnacentral:lncRNA from 1 species